rnacentral:rRNA from 1 species
UUAGGAAUUUUGCGCAAUGGGAGAAAUCCUGACGCAGCAACGCCGCGUGGGGGACGAAGGCCUUCGGGUUGUAAACCCCUUUUAGCUGGGAAAAAUAAAUUGAUGGUACCAGCAGAAAAAGCACCGGCUAACUCUGUGCCAGCAGCCGCGGUAAUACAGAGGGUGCGAGCGUUAUUCGGAAUCACUGGGCGUAAAGCGCGCGUAGGCGGCUUGGUAAGUCUGAUGUGAAAUCCCUGAGCUUAACUCAGGAAGUGCAUCGGAUACUGCUAGGCUAGAGUGUGGAAGAGGAUAGCGGAAUUCCAGGUGUAGAGGUGAAAUUCGUAGAUAUCUGGAGGAACAACAGUGGCGAAGGCGGCUAUCUGGGCCACCACUGACGCUGAGGCGCGAAAGCGUGGGGAGC